GUCGACAAGAAAUUGUUGACAUCUAUUAAAAUUGGAACGAUACAGAGAAGAUUAGCAUGGCCCCUUGCACAAAGAUGACACGCACAAUCGUGAAGCGUUCCUUAUUUUU
rfam:Strongylocentrotus purpuratus Contig124723_fixed, whole genome shotgun sequence.